rnacentral:rRNA from 1 species
CCUACGGGGGGCAGCAGUGGGGAAUAUUGGACAAUGGGGGGAACCCUGAUCCAGCGACGCCGCGUGAGUGAAGAAGUAUUUCGGUAUGUAAAGCUCUAUCAGCAGGGAAGAAAGAAAUGACGGUACCUGACUAAGAAGCCCCGGCUAACUACGUGCCAGCAGCCGCGGUAAUACGUAGGGGGCAAGCGUUAUCCGGAUUUACUGGGUGUAAAGGGAGCGUAGACGGCGAUGCAAGUCUGAAGUGAAAGGCGGGGGCCCAACCCCCGGACUGCUUUGGAAACUGUAUGGCUGGAGUGCAGGAGAGGUAAGUGGAAUUCCUAGUGUAGCGGUGAAAUGCGUAGAUAUUAGGAGGAACACCAGUGGCGAAGGCGGCUUACUGGACUGUAACUGACGUUGAGGCUCGAAAGCGUGGGGAGCAAACAGGAUUAGAUACCCCAGU